GACGAACGCUGGCGGCGUGCUUAACACAUGCAAGUCGAACGGAAAGGCCCUGCUUUUGUGGGGUGCUCGAGUGGCGAACGGGUGAGUAACACGUGAGUAACCUGCCCUUGACUUUGGGAUAACUUCAGGAAACUGGGGCUAAUACCGGAUAGGAGCUCCUGCUGCAUGGUGGGGGUUGGAAAGUUUCGGCGGUUGGGGAUGGACUCGCGGCUUAUCAGCUUGUUGGUGGGGUAGUGGCUUACCAAGGCUUUGACGGGUAGCCGGCCUGAGAGGGUGACCGGCCACAUUGGGACUGAGACACGGCCCAGACUCCUACGGGAGGCAGCAGUGGGGAAUAUUGCACAAUGGGCGGAAGCCUGAUGCAGCAACGCCGCGUGCGGGAUGACGGCCUUCGGGUUGUAAACCGCUUUCGCCUGUGACGAAGCGUGAGUGACGGUAAUGGGUAAAGAAGCACCGGCUAACUACGU
rnacentral:rRNA from 1 species